ACUUCUCAUUCACACACAGAGAGAGACAGAGGAGGGGAGAGAACCGGUGCUGCGUUCUCUGGUCGCCAUUCAGUUGGAACGAUUCUGAAGUUUCUUCUCUUGGAACCGUUUGUUGUUCCUGUCGCUUCUUCUGGUGCUGCUCCGGCUCCGGCUCCGGCUCUGCUCCAUCUCCAUGGGAGAAAGACAAAGGAGGGGAAACAACUCAGACCCACGAUAUCGUUCAUCUUCUUCGGGUUGGAUCUUCAUCUGAGAGAAUCGAAAGAAUCCCAUUCCCAUGUUUGUUCGUGGGUCUGCGUGAGUGCUCUGUUGGGAUCAACAAACCUUACCAUCGGUCAUCCUCUUCCCAUAACUUGAGGUUCCUCUCUGAAUCUCCAGUGGACCAAUUUAUUGUGAACGGUAGCUGCAGAAAUUUGACUCUAAUUCCCAUUCAUCAGUGGAAGGGAAAACUUUCAGCUCAUAGAAGGCCACUUACAGAUAAGGCAGCAUAUAGGUCUUACUUUACUCCAUACCUAUUGAUUUUUUCUGAAUGCUGCUGUUGUUAACCUUUUUUUUGUUGUGUGGUUUCCCUGAGUAGUUCAAUUUUUGUUUUUUAGUGUCUUAAUGUGAUUUGCAAUUCAAAUUUGAGGCUGAUGUUGAUGUGUAUUGGUUCCUAAAACAUAUGGUCACAAUAUUGAAGGUUGAGUUUUGAGAAAUGGACUCGGUUUAAUCAUAUCAUCUAUAUUUAUUGAGAACUUGGAUUUCGUUUGAUGUGUGCUUCAAAUGCAAACUGAUUGGACAGUUGCACUUGCGAGACUAGUUUUCUCUGUUCAUUUAUGUGACCGCCUUUCUUACAUGGUCAUUGAAUUACUGCUUGUGCAUGACAACUAUUGGUUUGAGUGCACUAACUUUGAUUUUUUCCUAAAUCUUUGAAAUUUGUGAUUGGUUUUCGUUACAGUUAUUUUAAUCUAUUUGAAGCAUCAAAUCAGUAAAACAACUCAAAAUUUGGAAAUUCAUAAGAUUCAUGUAAAUUUGUACUUGUUAUGAUCUUAGUGAGCAAGGCUACACAAGGGGGUAAAUGGUUUUUAUUGUAUUAGAAUUUAAGGGUUUUAGAGAAGAAGCAUUCAUGAAAUGUGAUGACAAUGUUUUGUUAGCGGAACCAAAUUUUAAACUUUCUCCCAAGGAGGGUCAAUUUGAUGGGUUACAUAGAGAGUUGAUGAAGGAGAAUUGGUCUGCCACUAUGUAGGCUUUAAGUGGUCCCCUUCCACCCCCCCCCCUUGACAGACUAAACUCUUCGCAAAACCCAAAAUAUCUCAAAUAUUUCCGAAUCUUUUAGACCGAUUCGUAUCUGUAGCAAAUUAUAGUUCAGGGCUGAGUUUAGUCUCUAUGAUAGGGUUCUAAAUUGCCUCAGCUUAGGAAUUCAGAAAUCCCUUAGAAAUCAAAAUCUCAGUGAAUGGUUCUGUAACUAGGCUCAAGCGAAAAUUGAAUUCAGCAAGUCAAAUGUUCAAAUGAGACCAGAAAUAAGG